AUACGGGAGGCAGCAGUAGGGAAUCUUCCGCAAUGGACGAAAGUCUGACGGAGCAACGCCGCGUGAGCGAAGAAGGCCUUCGGGUCGUAAAGCUCUGUUGUUAGGGAAGAACAAGUACGAGAGUAACUGCUCGUACCUUGACGGUACCUAACCAGAAAGCCACGGCUAACUACGUGCCAGCAGCCGCGGUAAUACGUAGGUGGCAAGCGUUGUCCGGAAUUAUUGGGCGUAAAGCGCGCGCAGGCGGUCCUUUAAGUCUGAUGUGAAAGCCCACGGCUCAACCGUGGAGGGUCAUUGGAAACUGGGGGACUUGAGUGCAGAAGAGGAGAGUGGAAUUCCACGUGUAGCGGUGAAAUGCGUAGAGAUGUGGAGGAACACCAGUGGCGAAGGCGACUCUCUGGUCUGUAACUGACGCUGAGGCGCGAAAGCGUGGGGAGCAAACAGGAUUAGAAACCCUGGUAGUCCU
rnacentral:rRNA from 1 species